rnacentral:rRNA from 1 species
CCCCCCAUAGAGGGUGAGAGCCCCGUCCGGUCGUGCGCCUAGCCUCUGUAAAGCUCCUUCGACGAGUCGAGUAGUUUGGGAAUGCUGCUCUAAAUGGGAGGUAUACGUCUUCUAAAGCUAAAUACCGGCCAGAGACCGAUAGCGCACAAGUAGAGUGAUCGAAAGAUGAAAAGCACUUUGAAAAGAGGGUUAAAUAGUACGUGAAAUUGCUGAAAGGGAAGCGCUUAUGACCAGACUUGGGCGCGGCGGAUCAUCCGGCGUUCUCGCCGGUGCACUCCACCGCCCCAGGCCAGCAUCAGUUCGCGCCGGGGGACAAAGGCUUCGGGAAUGUGGCUCCCUCGGGAGUGUUAUAGCCCGUUGCGUAAUACCCUGGUGCGGACUGAGGUCCGCGCUCUGCAAGGAUGCUGGCGUAAUGGUCAUCAGUGACCCGUCUUGAAACACGGACCAAGGAGUCGUCUUCGUAUGCGAGUGUUCGGGUGUCAAACCCCUACGCGGAAUGAAAGUAAACGUAGGAGAGAGCUUCGGCGCAU